GUUCCUGUCACUGUGGCUUCUCCUAAGCUCUUCCAUCUAAUACUGCACUAUGUCAGCUUGGUUUCAAAACACUCUAAAGGGAAGAUCUCAGUUGCUGAGGGAAAGCAUUUUGACCCUAAUAACACUUGUAUAUAAAUCCUGGAACUGCAAUAAUAUCUGGCCACAUAACAGCUUAUCAAUCUCGGACCUUAAAAGGGACUGAUCAGAGCAAAGACAUCUUCUUCCCACAUAGUAGAGAGCCAGCUUUUGUAACUGUUCCAGGAAAAGGUUUUGCAGAUUCAUUUUUAUUGGGACCUGGAACUUGGAUGUUUAAAAUCAU
rnacentral:lncRNA from 1 species